rnacentral:rRNA from 1 species
GAAGGUGUACUGUGAGGUAUGCUGGAGGUAUCAGAAGUGCGAAUGCUGACAUAAGUAACGAUAAAGCGGGUGAAAAGCCCGCUCGCCGGAAGACCAAGGGUUCCUGUCCAACGUUAAUCGGGGCAGGGUGAGUCGACCCCUAAGGCGAGGCCGAAAGGCGUAGUCGAUGGGAAACAGGUUAAUAUUCCUGUACUUGGUGUUACUGCGAAGGGGGGACGGAGAAGGCUAUGUUGGCCGGGCGACGGUUGUCCCGGUUUAAGCGUGUAGGCUGGUUUUCCAGGCAAAUCCGGAAAAUCAAGGCUGAGGCGUGAUGACGAGGCACUACGGUGCUGAAGCAACAAAUGCCCUGCUUCCAGGAAAAGCCUCUAAGCAUCAGGUAACAUCAAAUCGUACCCCAAACCGACACAGGUGGUCAGGUAGAGAAUACCAAGGCGCUUGAGAGAACUCGGGUGAAGGAACUAGGCAAAAUGGUGCCGUAACUUCGGGAGAAGGCACGCUGAUAUGUAGGUGAAGUCCCUCGCGGAUGGAGCUGAAAUCAGUCGAAGAUACCAGCUGGCUGCAACUGUUUAUUAAAAACACAGCACUGUGCAAACACGAAAGUGGACGUAUACGGUGUGACGCCUGCCCGGUGCCGGAAGGUUAAUUGAUGGGGUCAGCGCAAGCGAAGCUCUUGAUCGAAGCCCCGGUAAACGGCGGCCGUAACUAUAACGGUCCUAAGGUAGCGAAAUUCCUUGUCGGGUAAGUUCCGACCUGCACGAAUGGCGUAAUGAUGGCCAGGCUGUCUCCACCCGAGACUCAGUGAAAUUGAACUCGCUGUGAAGAUGCAGUGUACCCGCGGCAAGACGGAAAGACCCCGUGAACCUUUACUAUAGCUUGACACUGAACAUUGAGCCUUGAUGUGUAGGAUAGGUGGGAGGCUUUGAAGUGUGGACGCCAGUCUGCAUGGAGCCGACCUUGAAAUACCACCCUUUAAUGUUUGAUGUUCUAACGUUGACCCGUGAUCCGGGUUGCGGACAGUGUCUGGUGGGUAGUUUGACUGGGGCGGUCUCCUCCUAAAGAGUAACGGAGGAGCACGAAGGUUGGCUAAUCCUGGUCGGACAUCAGGAGGUUAGUGCAAUGGCAUAAGCCAGCUUGACUGCGAGCGUGACGGCGCGAGCAGGUGCGAAAGCAGGUCAUAGUGAUCCGGUGGUUCUGAAUGGAAGGGCCAUCGCUCAACGGAUAAAAGGUACUCCGGGGAUAACAGGCUGAUACCGCCCAAGAGUUCAUAUCGACGGCGGUGUUUGGCACCUCGAUGUCGGCUCAUCACAUCCUGGGGCUGAAGUAGGUCCCAAGGGUAUGGCUGUUCGCCAUUUAAAGUGGUACGCGAGCUGGGUUUAGAACGUCGUGAGACAGUUCGGUCCCUAUCUGCCGUGGGCGCUGGAGAACUGAGGGGGGCUGCUCCUAGUACGAGAGGACCGGAGUGGACGCAUCACUGGUGUUCGGGUUGUCAUGCCAAUGGCACUGCCCGGUAGCUAAAUGCGGAAGAGAUAAGUGCUGAAAGCAUCUAAGCACGAAACUUGCCCCGAGAUGAGUUCUCCCUGACUCCUUGAGAGUCCUGAAGGAACGUUGAAGACGACGACGUUGAUAGGCCGGGUGUGUAAGCGCAGCGAUGCGUUGAGCUAACCGGUACUAAUGAACCGUGAGGCUUAACCUU